UUUGCUUCCGCGUGUGCUCUCCUCUCUCUUGCUCGAUCCUACAAAACUCAUCAUCCAUCAAUAACUUUUAUAUAUUUUCUGUAUACAAAGGCGCGUCGUUUGAAACCGAGAAUCUACAAGGCAAAUACUUUCAGGCGUAUCCAACAGGGAUUGUAUUUUGGUUAACAAAUUCAUGAAAUCCAGACUUGACCGGCCUUCCGGAGGGUGUUAUAAGUGUGAUCUAUGACUUGGUCCUACAAAUGGUGCAUUCAUUUUCCAGUCAUAUGGAUGUCGGCAAUGUUUGUUUUCCUGCAUCGGGCAACAAAUAUACUGCAUCUUAAAUGAUCGAUAGAUAGAAUUUUGGAUUGAAGGUCUGGACGUAUCAAGGACAAGUCUUGAAGUAUGUUCUCGCGAUCCUUUUUAUUUGACUGUUCGAAGUUAUUUGGAUAUCUGGGCGAUGUUUAUUUUCCUGCAUCUGGCAGCCAAUAUAUUGCAUUUUAGAUGAUCCAUAUUUGUCUCAAGGUCAAGGCCUGAAAUGAUCUAUAUUUGUCUCAAGGUCGAUCCAUAUUUGUCUCAAGGUCAAGGCCUGAAGAACAAUUGAUGCUUAACGCUUAUCAAGCAUGUGCAUGCUUUCAUCCUGCUUCGUCACAAUAAAAAGCGAGAUUCCACUAGAUUUUCCAACAGGAGGGUGGAAACCAACAACUUGGAAAUUCUGGGUAUCGAAAUGGUUAUCUGUAUACUCAGAGUCUGAAAUUGGGUCACAUCUAUCUUCCUUUAAGAAACAAUAUAACCGGAAGCUCCUUAAUGUGACUAUGGAGGCUAUACAUAGACCAGAAGAAUGGGUUUUCAGAGAGAAAUUAAGUUAUAUAUAAGAAAAAUGGUUACAUACGAAGACGAUG